GACGGACAGGCAGAUGAACAGAGAGGCUAUAAAUGCAGCAAGAUGUUAAAGGUGGAAACAAGUGGUAAAGGUUCUGCAGGUUUUGGAUAUAAGAAAUAAAACAUGGGCCUCCCAGAAGGAGCAUCAAUCCAACCACCUCUGGCCCCAGCCCCACGCCAGCACAUGUCUCCAAGCUUCUUACGAUACUUCAUGCUACCUUGCACUAAUUACAGCUGUUUGCGUCCAUUGCUUCCUGUUCAGAAAGCUCGCUGAGAGUAGGAUCCAUGUGUAUCUAACCCCUCUCCUCAGCACAUAUUAGACAAUCCAUGAGCUCUUGAAUGAAUGAGAAUGGCCCAGAUAGAGGAGUGGUGGAUGAGAAUGAUCACCCAGGAUAUCCAGACCCCACCUGUAUCAGGACUUGCCUGACUUGGCUCCUUACCUUAACAUACUACAUGCCACAGCUGCUGUCUCUCCAAGACAGGCUGAUACCCAUGACUAUGGAAAGUCCAUGUCCUCUUUGCACUUUUCUAAAAGGGAAAAAGGACUUUGAAAAACUGACGGGGCCCACUCUUUUCUCUUGAUCUCACCCACCACGUCAUAAAACAGACUAAGUCACAUGGGAAAACAAAUGGUUCUGUCAUUCCAGCACCUUAUAGCUCUCUGAUGGGCCAGCAACUUGUAUACCUACUUAACAAAAUGCCAAGGCAACUGUCAGUGUUCCUAUCCUCUGCUGGGCACCUCACAUCCAUCUGGCAGAGCUUUUGAUUAUAAACAGAGUGCAGACUCACCAAGAAGCAGCCCCUAAGGAGAGUCCCACCUGGUGGUUCUGCAGCCAGCGGGGUCCUUAUACUGCCUAAGACGAGCAAGGGCUGCUACUGCAGAUUCCUCAGGUCAAGGAGGGGCUGGAUGAGGUUCCCAAACAUGCCCACCUUGAAGCAUGUGAAGGGGCACAUUUGCGUCCGGCUCUGUACUUGGGGAUCACGGGGCUGAAGUGUCCUUUAGAGAGAAGGCAGCUCUGACUACAUUUGGCAAGAACAGGAUAGACAGCCCCAGCCCUCAGCUUGCUGGCAGGACAUGCCAAGGCUUGUCCCUGUGCUAGGUAAGGAGGGGUCAGGGAGGGACCAGGCAGGAAGGCUGACAUUGGAAAUGUCUCCUACACACAAAGUCAGCCUUAGGAUCUUAGAGGUAGCAAUUAAAAAAAAAAAAAAAAAAAUCCACUGUUGAAAGUCAGCACAUGUGCAAAUUUAUAUCCACAUCAAAGCUAUUUUAUGCCCUGAACAAACAUGGCAAAUAAGUUUCUGAGGCCAAGUUCUCAGGGAUGAGACAUAAUCUUGCCCACCAGGGGUGCACAGACUAAGGAGAUCAGUGAACUGUGCCUGAGAAUGGUGAAGACUUUCAAAUUCAAUGGAACUUUCCCCUACAAACUUCGUGUGAUUUGCGAGUUUUUUUUAAUAUGGUUUUAAAAUUAAUCCACAAGCUGACCCUCUUCCUCCUACACUUUCAAGGGUAACAGAGAUCUCUGAAAGUUGUCAGGAAGGUGCAAAAGUGGAUAAAAUCAUGCAUUCAAUUUUAGGAAGUUCCCAAAUCACCUGGAAUGCAGUUGAAGGCUCUGAAGAGUCUAC